AUUGAACGCUGGCGGCAGGCCUAACACAUGCAAGUCGAACGAGUGGCGGACGGGUGAGUAAUGUCUGGGAAACUGUCCGAUGGAGGGGGAUAACUACUGGAAACGGUAGCUAAUACCGCAUACCAUCGGAUGUGCCCAGAUGGGAUUAGCUAGUAGGGGGGGUAACGGCUCACCUAGGCGACGAUCCCUAGCUGGUCUGAGAGGAUGACCAGCCAAAUGGGAAAUGAGAACAGGUUCAGAAUCCUACGGGAGGAAGCAGUUGGGAAUAUUGGACAAUGGGCGCAAGCCGGAUGGAGCCAUGCCGGGUGUUUGAAGAAGGCCUUCGGGUUGUAAAGUACUUUCAGCGAGGAGGCGUUACUCGCAGAAGAAGCAUCGGCUAACUCCGUGCCAGCAGCCGCGGUAAUAC
rnacentral:rRNA from 1 species